rnacentral:rRNA from 1 species
UACGGAGGGUGCAAGCGUUAAUCGGAAUUACUGGGCGUAAAGGGUGCGUAGGUGGUUAGAUAAGUUAUCUGUAAAAUCCCUGGGCUUAACCUGGGCAGGUCAGAUAAGACUGUUUGACUCGAGUAUGGGAGAGGGUAGUGGAAUUUCCGGUGUAGCGGUGAAAUGCGUAGAGAUCGGAAGGAACACCAGUGGCGAAGGCGGCUACCUGGCCUAAUACUGACACUGAGGCACGAAAGCGUGGGGAGCAAACAGG